rnacentral:rRNA from 1 species
AUUGAACGCUGGCGGCAUGCCUAACACAUGCAAGUCGAACGGCAGCACGGCAGUAGCAAUACUGUGGGUGGCGAGUGGCGGACGGGUGAGGAAUACGUCGGAAUCUGCCCAGUCGUGGGGGAUAACUAGCCGAAAGGUUAGCUAAUACCGCAUAUGACCGAGAGGUGAAAGCGGGGGACCGCAAGGCCUCGCGCGAUUGGAUGAGCCGACGUCGGAUUAGCUAGUUGGUGGGGUAAAGGCCCACCAAGGCGGCGAUCCGUAGCUGGUCUGAGAGGAUGAUCAGCCACACUGGAACUGAGACACGGUCCAGACUCCUACGGGAGGCAGCAGUGGGGAAUAUUGGACAAUGGGCGCAAGCCUGAUCCAGCAAUGCCGCGUGUGUGAAGAAGGCCUCGG